rnacentral:rRNA from 1 species
AGAGUUUGAUCCUGGCUCAGAACGAACGCUGGCGGCAGGCUUAACACAUGCAAGUCGAACGCCCCGCAAGGGGAGUGGCAGACGGGUGAGUAACGCGUGGGAAUCUACCUAGAACUACGGAACAACUGAUGGAAACGUCAGCUAAUACCGUAUACGCCCUACGGGGGAAAGAUUUAUCGGUUUUAGAUGAGCCCGCGUAAGAUUAGCUAGUUGGUGAGGUAAUGGCUCACCAAGGCGACGAUCUUUAGCUGGUCUGAGAGGAUGAUCAGCCACACUGGGACUGAGACACGGCCCAGACUCCUACGGGAGGCAGCAGUGGGGAAUAUUGGACAAUGGGCGCAAGCCUGAUCCAGCCAUGCCGCGUGAGUGAUGAAGGCCUUAGGGUUGUAAAGCUCUUUCAGUGGGGAAGAUAAUGACGGUACCCACAGAAGAAGCCCCGGCUAACUUCGUGCCAGCAGCCGCGGUAAUACGAAGGGGGCUAGCGUUGUUCGGGUUUACUGGGCGUAAAGCGCACGUAGGCGGAUUGUUAAGUCAGGGGUGAAAUCCUGGAGCUCAACUCCAGAACUGCCUUUGAUACUGGCAAUCUCGAGUCCGGAAGAGGUAAGUGGAACUCCUAGUGUAGAGGUGGAAUUCGUAGAUAUUAGGAAGAACACCAGUGGCGAAGGCGGCUUACUGGUCCGGUACUGACGCUGAGGUGCGAAAGCGUGGGGAGCAAACAGGAUUAGAUACCCUAGUAGUCC